rnacentral:ncRNA from 1 species
AUUCUGGGUUGAUCCUGCCAGUAGUUAUAUGCUUGUCUCAAAGAUUAAGCCAUGCAUGUCUAAGUACACACGAAUUAAAAGUGAAACCGCAAAAGGCUCAUUAUAUCAGUUAUGGGUCCUUAGAUCGUUAACAGUUACUUGGAUAACUGUGGUAAUUCUAGAGCUAAUACAUGCAAUUAAAACAUGAACCUUAUGGGACAUGUGCUUUUAUUAGGCUAAAACCAAGCGAUCGCAAGAUCGUUAUAUUGGUUGAACUCUAGAUAACAUGCAGAUCGUAUGGUCUUGUACCGACGACAGAUCUUUCAAAUGUCUGCCCUAUCAACUUUUGAUGGUAGUAUCUAGGACUACCAUGGUUGCAACGGGUAACGGGGAAUCAGGGUUCGAUUCCGGAGAGGGAGCCUGAGAAACGGCUACCACAUCUAAGGAAGGCAGCAGGCGCGUAAAUUACCCACUCCCAGCUCGGGGAGGUAGUGACGAAAAAUAACAAUACAGGACUCAUAUCCGAGGCGCUGUAAUUGGAAUGAGUACACUUUAAAUCCUUUAACAAGGACCAAUUGGAGGGCAAGUCUGGUGCCAGCAGCCGCGGUAAUUCCAGCUCCAAUAGCGUAUAUUACAGUUGUCGCGGUUCAAUCGUUAGUAGUUGAACUUGUGCUUCAUACGGCUAGUACAACUUACAAUUGUGGUUAGUACUAUGCCUUUAUGUAUGUAAGCGUAUUUCCGGUGGAGUUCUUAUAUGUGAUUAAAUACUUGUAUUUUUUCCAUAUGUUCCUCCUAUUUAAAAACCUGCCCUAGUGCUCUUAAGCGAGUGUUAUAGUGGGCCGGUAAUAUUACUCAGAACAAAUUAGAGCGCUUAAAGCAGGCUUCAAAUGCCUGAAUAUUCCGUGCAUGGGAUAAUGAAAUAAGCCUCUGUUCUGCUUUCAUAGUUCCGGAUCAAGAGGUGA